AUUUUUUAAAACUUUAAUAUGAAAUUAUGAAAUUAUUAUUGCAAUUUUUAACACAAAAGUUUUCAAAUGUACAGAAUAUAUUUGAAUAUUUAUAUAGCCAGCACCUAGAUUCAACAAUUGUUAAAACUUUGGCAUAUUUGCUUUAUAUGUAGGUUAAACAUGAUUUUAAAAGCAUUAUGAUAUUUUACCUUGAAAUACUCAACAUGCUUACUUAGAACAUGAUAUUCUCCUCCAUCCUUGCAGCUUGAGUGUCACCUGGUGGCUUAUUAGAAUCACAGAAUCUCAGCCCCAUCCAGACCCAACCGAGUUAGAAUCUGCAUUUUAACAAAUCUGUAGGUGAUUCAUAUGCAAGUUAAAAUUGAAGAAGCA
rnacentral:lncRNA from 10 species